rnacentral:rRNA from 1 species
AUACGGAGGGUGCAAGCGUUAUCCGGAAUCACUGGGUUUAAAGGGUGCGUAGGCGGGGCUAUAAGUCAGAGGUGAAAGGUUACGGCUCAACCGUAAGACUGCCUUUGAUACUGUAGUUCUUGAAUUAGGCUGAGGUUAGCGGAAUGUGACAUGUAGCGGUGAAAUGCAUAGAUAUGUCAUAGAACACCAAUUGCGAAGGCAGCUAGCUAGACCUAAAUUGACGCUGAGGCACGAAAGCGUGGGGAGCGAACAGGAUUAGAAACCCCAGUAGUCC